rnacentral:rRNA from 1 species
GUGUCAGCCGCCGCGGUAAUACGAAGGGACCUAGCGUAGUUCGGAAUUACUGGGCUUAAAGAGUUCGUAGGUGGUUAAAAAAGUUGGUGGUGAAAUCCCAGAGCUUAACUCUGGAACUGCCAUCAAAACNUUUUAGCUAGAGUAUGAUAGAGGAAAGUAGAAUUUCUAGUGUAGAGGUGAAAUUCGUAGAUAUUAGAAAGAAUACCAAUUGCGAAGGCAGCUUUCUGGAUCAUUACUGACACUGAGGAACGAAAGCAUGGGUAGCGAAGAGGAUUAGAUACCCUCGUAGUCCAUGCCGUAAACGAUGUGUGUUAGACGUUGGAAAUUUAUUUUCAGUGUCGCAGCGAAAGCAAUAAACACACCGCCUGGGGAGUACGACCGCAAGGUUAAAACUCAAAUGAAUUGACGGGGACCCGCACAAGUAGUGGAGCAUGUGGUUUAAUUCGAAGAUACGCGCAGAACCUUACCAACACUUGACAUGUUCGUCGCGACUCUAAGAGAUUAGAGUUUUCGGUUCGGCCGGACGAAACACAGGUGCUGCAUGGCUGUCGUCAGCUCGUGUCGUGAGAUGUUGGGUUAAGUCCCGCAACGAGCGCAACCCUUACUUUUAGUUGCCAUCAUUUAGUUGGGAACUCUAAAAGAACUGCCAGUGAUAAGCUGGGGGAAGGUGGGGAUGACGUCAAGUCCUCAUGGCCCUUAUGUGUUGGGCUACACACGUGCUACGAUGGCAUUUACAAUAGGAAGCAAGAUGGCGACAUCAAGCAAAUCCUAAAAAAAUGCCUCAGUUCGGAUUGUACUCUGCAACUCGAGUACAUGAAGCUGGAAUUACUAGUAAUCGUGGAUCAGCGUGCCACGGUGAAUACGUUCCCGGGUCUUGCACACACCGCCCGUC